GACGAACGCUGGCGGCGUGCCUAAUACAUGCAAGUCGAGCGGACAGAUGGGAGCUUGCUCCCUGAUGUUAGCGGCGGACGGGUGAGUAACACGUGGGUAACCUGCCUGUAAGACUGGGAUAACUCCGGGAAACCGGGGCUAAUACCGGAUGGUUGUUUGAACCGCAUGGUUCAAACAUAAAAGGUGGCUUCGGCUACCACUUACAGAUGGACCCGCGGCGCAUUAGCUAGUUGGUGAGGUAACGGCUCACCAAGGCAACGAUGCGUAGCCGACCUGAGAGGGUGAUCGGCCACACUGGGACUGAGACACGGCCCAGACUCCUACGGGAGGCAGCAGUAGGGAAUCUUCCGCAAUGGACGAAAGUCUGACGGAGCAACGCCGCGUGAGUGAUGAAGGUUUUCGGAUCGUAAAGCUCUGUUGUUAGGGAAGAACAAGUACCGUUCGAAUAGGGCGGUACCUUGACGGUACCUAACCAGAAAGCCACGGCUAACUACGUGCCAGCAGCCGCGGUAAUACGUAGGUGGCAAGCGUUGUCCGGAAUUAUUGGGCGUAAAGGGCUCGCAGGCGGUUUCUUAAGUCUGAUGUGAAAGCCCCCGGCUCAACCGGGGAGGGUCAUUGGAAACUGGGGAACUUGAGUGCAGAAGAGGAGAGUGGAAUUCCACGU
rnacentral:rRNA from 1 species